CCAAGUCCCCGACAUCUCCCGGGAGUUUCAUGAGCCCAACAACAAAUGGUUUACUGCUCUGGAGCUCAGAUGCAAUAUGCCAGCGCCACAGAUAAAGAGGAGGUUAUAAAAUGAACCUGCGGAGCAGAGGGGCCCCGUGUGAGCAGGGACCAGGUGGUCCCAGACCUUGUAGCCCAGCACUGCUGAGGGGCUUGGUGGAGGGAACAGAGCACGUGAGCCAGGUUCGCCCGGAACACCUGUCUCAGAUCUGCAGUCUGGACCAAAGGAGGCAGAAUGUGGCCACUGCUGGAGGCCAUCACGGACUUUGUGUUCCAGAUCCAAUGACUCAUCAGGAGACAGCAUGAUGGAAAAGGAACUAGGACAGACAGGCCAGCUGGGAGCUCACGGAGCCUGGGCAGUCUGUGAACUAACGGGAGACAGGCAUCCUCCAGGCUCUCUCUUACUGCCCACGCAUCCGUGACCUUUCACAGGUGGCGAUGGCCAUGAAACAGAGUGUGAGCUUUCUAGUCUUGCAAAGUC
rnacentral:lncRNA from 1 species